rnacentral:rRNA from 1 species
GACGAACGCUGGCGGCGUGCUUAACACAUGCAAGUCGAACGAAAAGAGGGAAAGAGCUUGCUCUUUCCGGAAUUGAGUGGCGAACGGGUGAGUAACACGUAAACAACCUGCCUUCAGGAUGGGGACAACAGACGGAAACGACUGCUAAUACCGAAUAAGUUCCAAGGGCCGCAUGGCCCAUGGAAGAAAAGGUGGCCUCUACCUGUAAGCUAUCGCCUGAAGAGGGGUUUGCGUCUGAUUAGCUGGUUGGAGGGGUAACGGCCCACCAAGGCGACGAUCAGUAGCCGGUCUGAGAGGAUGAACGGCCACACUGGAAUUGAGACACGGUCCAGACUCCUACGGGAGGCAGCAGUGGGGAAUCUUCCGCAAUGGGCGAAAGCCUGACGGAGCAACGCCGCGUGAGUGAUGACGGCCUUCGGGUUGUAAAACUCUGUGAUCCGGGACGAAAAGGCAGAGUGCGAAGAACAAACUGCAUUGACGGUACCGGAAAAGCAAGCCACGGCUAACUACGUG